rnacentral:ribozyme from 1 species
UGCCCAGCAAAUCCUAUCCUUACCUCCGCGCCGCGUGGCACUGGCCGGGCUGUGAACAACUUUAGGGAAGAUCGGAUAUGCAACCUUGGUGGAAACUUUGGUCGUAGGAUGACAGGGAAGG